rnacentral:rRNA from 1 species
AGACGGAGGGUACAAGCGUUGUUCGGAAUUACUGGGCGUAAAGCGCGUGUAGGCGGCUUGGCAAGUCGGAUGUGAAAUCCCGGGGCCCAACCCCGGAACUGCAUCCGAAACUGCUUGGCUAGAGUCCCGGAGAGGAAGGCAGAAUUCCCGGUGUAGGGGUGAAAUCCGUAGAUAUCGGGAGGAAUACCAGUGGCGAAGGCGGCCUUCUGGACGGUGACUGACGCUGAGACGCGAAAGCGUGGGGAGCAAACAGGAUUAGAAACCCCGGUAGUCC